UCGCCCGGGCCGCGCGCCUCCGCCCCCUGCUCGCGCCGCCGCCGCCGCCGCGAGCGGGAGGAGGAGGAGGAGGAGGAAGGAGGGAGAGAAGAAGGGAAGGAGGGAGGCAGGUCCGGUGGCCCUCUCUGGUAGCCCCAGCGGCGAGGGAAAGAUGGCGACGCUGGGAGGCGAGUCGCAGCCCUUCCCCUCUGCUGCUCUGGCGGCGGCAGCCGGAGUGGGCGGCGGCGGCGGCAGCGGCAGCGGAGCGCUGGGUCUGCAGGCGCCGCUGACCCGCGGUCUGGAGCGGGCGCUGGAGGAGGCGGCGCACUCCGGGGGGCUCAACCUGAGCGGCAGGAAGCUGAAGGAGUUCCCGCGCAGCGCCGCCGCCCUCAGCCACGACCUCUCCGACACGGUGCGGGCAGAUUUAUCCAAGAAUAGGUUAACUGAAGUUCCUACGGAGUUGUGCCAUUUUGUGUCACUGGAAACACUAAAUCUAUACCACAAUUGUAUCAAAGUUAUACCAGAUGCCAUAGUAAACUUACAAAUGCUAACUUACUUAAAUUUGAGUCGAAAUCAGCUUUCUUCUUUGCCAGCUUGCCUGUGUGGUCUUCCUCUAAAAGUCUUAAUUGCAAGUAACAAUAAGCUAGGUUCCCUUCCAGAAGAGAUAGGUCAGCUAAAACAGUUAAUGGAAUUGGAUGUCAGCUGUAAUGAAAUCACAGCUUUGCCACAGCAGAUAGGCCAGCUGAAAUCUUUAAAAGAACUGAAUGUCAGAAGAAAUUACCUCGAAGUUUUACCCCAAGAACUAGUACAGCUUCCCUUGGUAAAGUUUGACUUUUCCUGCAAUAAAGUGCUUGUGAUUCCAAUUUGUUUUAGAAAGAUGGUGCAGUUACAAGUAUUACUGCUUGAGAAUAAUCCUUUGCAAUCUCCACCAGCACAAAUUUGUACAAAGGGUAAGGUGCAUAUAUUCAAAUAUCUAACUGUACAAGCAUGUCAGAUUAAAACAGCAGACUCGCUGUAUCUUAAUGCCAUUGAACCACAGCAUUUGCCACAACCUGUGGAAGAGAGCAUUGAUGACAUCUAUCCAAGUAAAAAGGACUCAGAUUCAGGUGUUGGUAGUGAUAAUGGUGAUAAACGUUUGUCAGCAACAGAGCCAUCUGAUGAAGAUACUAUCAGCUUUAAUGUUCCAAUGUCGGACAUUGUGGAAGAAGAUCAUAUUAUAAAGGAUGAUUCAAGUCACCAUGCUAACUCAAGAAAAGUGGAAUUCCAUCAAGGAUCUGCUCACACGUUUGUCAUUGAUGAGUCACGAGAAACAGGAAACCAGUUUGAUGAACAGGAUACUCUUACUACUGAAUUUAUGAGCUACAUUAAGAGCAGAGCAGCAGAGUGUGAUGAAUUACUGAGAAUAGAAGAGGACACGCAAUGGCAAGCAGACGAAAUAAUAAAUUUAUCAGAAGAACAAACUAUUGAUAUAGCAAUGAUAGAACAACUAAGAGAAGCUGUAGAUUUAUUACAGGAUUCCAACAGUGGUCAAAUACAGAUGGACAUGUCUUCUAUUGGUCAGAGAGAAAAUGCUGAAGAGGAACUGGAAUUCCAGAGGAGGAGGGACUUGAUUAUGGAGAAAGCAAAGCCUGAAGCAAGACCUUGUGAGCAGGGUGAAAAAUGGUCAUUGAGCCAGAAUGAUCUAAUUGUUUGGAACACAAGUGGGCAAACAUCUCACAAUGAGAAUAAGGAUAAAAGUCCAACAAUGUCUCCUACUACAAACACCACAAUCCCUUUUGGCCUGAAGCCACGAUCAGACCCAUCCCUCAGUUUUCCUCCUAUCUCCUUCAACACACUUACACAGGCACAAACAUGGGACAACUUUAGCUACAGUAUCCCAUCUGAAGGAGACAGUGACAAUGUGUUCUUAAGACCACAAAGAAAUUUGGAAUCAAUAGACCCACAGUUCACAAUUCGAAGGAAAAUGGAGCAGAUGAGAGAAGAGAGAGAGCUUGUGGAGCAGCUACGUGAGAACAUAGAAACAAGGCUAAAGAUCUGUUUGCCCGAGGACCUGGGCUCAGCCCUGAUGGACGGCGUCGUUCUGUGCCAUUUAGUGAACCACGUCCGCCCUCGCUCUGUCGGCAGCAUUCACGUGCCCUCACCAGCAGUACCUAAACUUAGCAUGGCCAAAUGCAGGAGAAACGUGGAAAACUUUUUGGAUGCAUGUAGAAAACUGGGGAUACCAGAGGCUGACCUCUGCUCUCCGUAUGACAUCCUGCAGUCGGAUAUUCGUCACAUUCGAAAGACUGUUGACACUCUGCUCGCCCUCGGGGAGAAACCCCCACAAUCAACUUCUACUUUUCGCUCCUGGGAUCUAUUAGGCUUUUGUCUUUUCCAUAUACUUUUUAUAGUCUUGAUGUAUAUAACUUAUCACUGGAAUUUGCUAACAGCAUAACCUGUUCGCAUGUGCGCACAAACUUUCUGCUUUGUCUCUGAAAAAUUACAGGAGAAGCUCUGCCUACCACAUCACAUCCUAGAAGAAAAGGGCUUGGUAAAAGUGAGCAUAACAGUUCAAGCAUUGCUAGAUGUAACCACAGUGAAACAAGCUUUAUUCACAUGAAACAACUCUCUCUGCUGUUACCAGCUACACUGUGCCAUGAACGAAUCAAAAAGCUGCCCAUUUUUACAAACUGCAUUGAAAACAACUCCAGUACUCCAAGAGUAUUCUUGUGAUUUUACACCCAUGUUUCAGACUGUACAUAUGUGUCGAACUACAAAGCAGAAACUGAACAGAAACAUUUUCUAGAGGAAGUUGGCACUUCACUGCUUUUCUAGCUCACUUUGUACAGUACUUACUAAAACAACACCUCUCUGCCACUUAAAAUCGUGUGGAGUACACAGCUGUCUUGCAGCAAGAUACCUUUGUAUUACUAAACUAAGAAUCACUGUAAUCACCUGGGGGGAGGGAAAAGGGAGAGUAAAUCAGACUGCUACCACCUUAGGUUUUUCUGCAGUUGCUUCAGGCUAUUGCCUUUUAAAAAUAUCCAGACAUUAAAUAUUUAUAUAAAUAUUAUUUAUUAGUGAGUUGUUAUUCAUCCUUUGGAUGCAAAAUGUAAAUUAGGAAACUGUAUUUUAUUACUGCUUUUUUUGUGGUUAAACACUUUAUUUUAAUAUAAAUACUUAGUUAUUUUUUAUUCUACUUGGUGUGCAGUAGCUCUAGAUCUCCGUAAAUUGUAUUUUCUAAUAUGUAAGAUAAAAAGCAAACAAAAUAGGUGCUUCUAUUAAAAGAACAGCUAGCUGGAAUGGCAUUCUUUAUUUCUUGAAUCUGUGGAACAUUGGUAAAAAAUUGUCUGCAUUCCAUUGAGUUUCCUACAUUCCAGUAACACCUCUCCCCUCACUAGAUAGACUAAAUUGGCUGAAAGUGAGAGCACACCCAUUUUAUUUGUAUAUAGAUGUUUAAAAACAAAAGGAAAUAUGUAAACUUGAAAAAUAAAUGUGAAAAAAUAUUUUUGAUUGCUUAUUUUGCUAUGCACAAAACAUUUAACUUUUGCCACAACAAAAUUAUUUAUGUGCAUUAGGAUCAUGUGUCUUGAAAUGUAAUUUUGCACUGUAACUUGACUUCUUUUAAAGAUUACAGCACUACAGAACAAAUAGUAAAAAAUAGCACAAGAAUUAACUAGUAGCCAAAAAAUUAACUUGUUUUCUUCAGUGAUUCCUUCAAGAGGAGACAAAAUGACUGAAAUUGCCAAAGGCAGUCUCAAAGACCUGAUCUUCCAGAUCCAACCUGCCUGGGUACAGUGUUUCUCUUUAAAAGUAUCCACAGAAUUAAGCACAAUGUUCUGUAGUGCACAUUUGCAGCACCAGACCUCUACUUCCACGUCAGCAAUAGGAAAUAAAAGUUCUUCUCCUUCUUACCACUUUACAUUUUUCAAAGAGGUUUUUAAAAGCAUACUUUAUUAUUAAGACAUGACUCAUUUUAGAUCAAAAAGUUCCAGCACAGCAAUUCUUCUGCUAUCUGGAACAUCCCAUUUUCAUUCACAGAAGAAGCCAGUGAUGGGACCUGGGCAAGCAGGACGGGGCAGCAGCAUGUGGUGAAAAGGGAAGCUGGCUGGGAACACACAAGCAGGGAGUUUGAAAUGUAGAGUGGCAAAAAAAAGAGGUAAGGGGGUGUGAGGACUAAAUAUUUAGGCAAGAGGAUGUGGAGAGAGCUAUUGUAUGAAGGCUUUUGGGCAGGGUGAUGCAUACUUGUCACUGCCCCCUCCCUAGGCACUGCCUCUAAACCCACCCAUGUUCAGCAGCAGAUGUGCUGAGCUUCAGACGGUGUCUGAACACAGAGCACACACUUCACCACCACCCCUUGCUCCAGGGCUGGGAGCAGUGACAGCAGCGUGUGAGGAGGAGCAGGAAAGGGGACUCGCAGACAAUGAGCCAGACAGUAUGCAUGGAAUAUCCAGUUACUUCAACCAAAGCAAAAACAUUUAUUUUAUAGAGGGAACAUAGACUUAAAUUGUAAUUUGAUUGGCAGCUAGCAUAUUGUUUCCUAUAAAAUGUACUGUGCACUUUAACACUAAAUGAAAAUGUAUUUUAAUAUUUUACAGAGCUGCACAAAUAUCUGUUCUGUCAAAAAGCAUGAGCAAUGUAAAGAAAAUAAGUUUUCAAGUCAGAGUUUAUCAAAUUUUAGAAGCAUUCAAGGAUCAAGUAUAAAAAUAGGAAUAUUGAUUUCUGCAUCUUGAGGGUAAAAAUGCAGGUUUCCUGAGUAUUUUUUUACAAUGUAUAUAUGGCAACAUGAAGCUUUGUAAUUAUUAUUAUUUUGAAAAAUCUUGUUUUUUCAUAAUUAAAAUUUUGUUUUCCUCCUGAUAGUGUCUUUCAGUAUUUGCUUGAAGUUGGCUGUAAAUAAAUAGCUCUAAGUAUUUUGUAAUACAGCUUUUUUUAUGCAGUCUUAACCUGUAUGGCUAAAAACAGAAUCUUCAUGAUCCUUUGUACAAUAUUUAUAUGUGCAAUAAAACAUGCAUGGCAAAUCUGUAAUACCCUCCACAGUGAACAUAAUGUAUAUAGAAAAUCUUUACUGUAGUUACAAUUAAACUAUAUUAUUUACAGAAACCCUUUAA